GUCUCUUUCGUCUAUCGGUUAGGACAUAACCCUUUCACGGUUAAAAGGCUCGUUCGAUUCGAGUAAGAGAUA
rnacentral:tRNA from 1 species